CCCUUAGAUGUUCUGGGCUGCACACGUGCUACACUGGCAGGUUCAGCGAGCUUCAUGCCCUGAUCUGAAAGGAAUGGGAAAUCUUUUCAAAACCUGCCGUGCUUGGGAUAGAUGUUUGCAAUUAUUCAUCUUCAACGAGGAUUGCCUUGUAAGCGCACGUCAUCAGCGUGCAUUGAAUACGACCCUGUAUUCUGUACACACCGCCCGUCGCUCCUACCGAUUGAAGUUUUCGGUGAGUUGACAGGAGGAUUUUUUUGAAACUGGUUCGCCAAUGGAUUUUAGAUCCAAAUGCCAACGAAUCGAUGGCUUUAGAGGAAGGAGAAGUCGUAACA
rnacentral:rRNA from 1 species